rnacentral:tRNA from 1 species
UUGGGCUAUAGCCAAGCGGUAAGGCAACGGACUUUGACUCCGUCAUUCGUUGGUUCGAAUCCAGCUAGCCCAGUC